rnacentral:rRNA from 1 species
UGGUCUUAGCUUGCUAAGGCCGAUGGCGACCGGCGCACGGGUGAGUAACACGUAUCCAACCUGCCGUCUACUCUUGGACAGCCUUCUGAAAGGAAGAUUAAUACAAGAUGGCAUCAUGAGUCCGCAUGUUCACAUGAUUAAAGGUAUUCCGGUAGACGAUGGGGAUGCGUUCCAUUAGAUAGUAGGCGGGGUAACGGCCCACCUAGUCUUCGAUGGAUAGGGGUUCUGAGAGGAAGGUCCCCCACAUUGGAACUGAGACACGGUCCAAACUCCUACGGGAGGCAGCAGUGAGGAAUAUUGGUCAAUGGGCGCAGGCCUGAACCAGCCAAGUAGCGUGAAGGAUGACUGCCCUAUGGGUUGUAAACUUCUUUUAUAAAGGAAUAAAGUCGGGUAUGUAUACCCGUUUGCAUGUACUUUAUGAAUAAGGAUCGGCUAACUCCGUGCCAGCAGCCGCGGUAAUACGGAGGAUCCGAGCGUUAUCCGGAUUUAUUGGGUUUAAAGGGAGCGUAGAUGGAUGUUUAAGUCAGUUGUGAAAGUUUGCGGCUCAACCGUAAAAUUGCAGUUGAUACUGGAUAUCUUGAGUGCAGUUGAGGCAGGCGGAAUUCGUGGUGUAGCGGUGAAAUGCUUAGAUAUCACGAAGAACUCCGAUUGCGAAGGCAGCUUACU